rnacentral:sRNA from 1 species
UUGUAGGUGACGCAGGAAUUGUGACGGU